CAUCCCCUGCGGUAUCCGACAGCGGCCCGGGUAUUUUCUUGAGCCUAAUCCGUACCCUGGGGACGCGCAGCGGCAGCCGGUGUGCAAGUCCGCCCUGAGCGGAAAGCCUGAGGUCGCCGUCUUGCGUCCCCCCUUGAACCGCUUGGUUCAAGAACGAGGGCUGCAUCGCUACAGGUGGGGGAUGU
rnacentral:other from 1 species